GACGAACGCUGGCGGCGUGCUUAACACAUGCAAGUCGAACGGAAAGGCCCUGCUUUUGUGGGGUGCUCGAGUGGCGAACGGGUGAGUAACACGUGAGUAACCUGCCCUUGACUUUGGGAUAACUUCAGGAAACUGGGGCUAAUACCGGAUAGGAGCUCCUGCUGCAUGGUGGGGGUUGGAAAGUUUCGGCGGUUGGGGAUGGACUGGCGGCUUAUCAGCUUGUUGGUGGGGUAGUGGCUUACCAAGGCUUUGACGGGUAGCCGGCCUGAGAGGGUGACCGGCCACAUUGGGACUGAGAUACGGCCCAGACUCCUACGGGAGGCAGCAGUGGGGAAUAUUGCACAAUGGGCGGAAGCCUGAUGCAGCAACGCCGCGUGCGGGAUGACGGCCUUCGUGUUGUAAACCGCUUUCGCCUGUGACGAAGCGUGAGUGACGGUAAUAGGUAAAGAAGCACCGGCUAACUACGUG
rnacentral:rRNA from 1 species